GGGAAAAUGACAUGAGUUGAGGAGGCAAAGGCUGGCAGAUGUCAUCGUGCUUAGAGGAUACUGAGAAAUAUCAGUGCCAUGAACUAAGCUGGUGCAGAGAUGAAGAGAAAUGGGCCACUGUGAAUACAUUCCAGAGAGAGAACCUGCGGAACUUGCUAAUGGAUUGAGUUGGUGAGGGUGCGGCAGCACCAGGGAGUGGGAAUAGGCAGUGGCAGUCUCUCACAUUUCUGUUUGGGGCUCUUUGCUGAGAUGGAGAAGCCUGGGAAGAGGAGGAUCAGGUUUAGAGGAUAACACAAUAUCUAAUUUCCUUUCUGGAAAGCAUUGUGAAGGCUGGACUGGGGAAGACAGGCCCAGGCAGGAAGGGGCUGAGACAGUUGCUGGGUGAGAGAUGGUGAUGAGGGAUGAGGAUGACUAAGGGCGGUGACUGGGAGGAAUAAAGGAUGUCUCUGCUAGACAAGCAGACAUGGAGAAGAGCUUCCUGCCUCUCCAGAAGCUAUGGAUUCCUGUUUGCAAGGUGACCAAGCUGGCCAACCAGUGGGGGGAGAUCUUUAUGGAGAACAUUGAGGAGAAACCAUCGUAUGGAGAAGAGUGGAGAGAUGAAGAAACUGAGACUUGGAUCCCAACCAGCCUGGAUUUGAAUCCUCACCCCACCACUUGCCCAAGGUGUACAGCUAGGAAGUUUCACAGCCCCGCCCGAGAUGCUGUGGGCUGAGCGCCGGCCCGUGGCUGCCACUGUCGACGCCGUAUUUGGAAGAGUCCUGUCUAACAGGCCCCAGUAGUGGGCCUUCUGCCAUCCCCAGUCUGUAAUGGAAGCGAUGAGGAGACAGCAGGAGCCUCUGCAUGGGGCCCUGGGAGCUUCAGCGGCUCCCCCGGUGCGCCCGCCCUGCCCCCAUCGUCGUCUCCUCUCUGAUCUGCUGCCUUGGGCCUGAGGGGAAGGGUUCCGCGGGUGAGGGAGCCUGGGGCCUCCUCGGCAGGAAGCUUCUCUCAUUGCCAGCGUUCUGCAGAGGUCGGCCCCCCACCCCACCUUCCCCACUCUCUCCUGGUCUUUGUUUCCGUUUCAGGCUGGGGUGGGAAGAUAAGGAGAGCAACGGCGCCAUCUGCUGGGCAUCUUGGGCAAGCGCCCGCUGAGCGCAGGAGUAACCCUGGGGACAGAAUCCCAUUUCAUCUGGUGGAAGGAAGCUCUCAGUGCCAACAAGGGCUGCCUAUUAUCUGUACCCUCAGGUGACAAAGCAAUUGCAAAGAACUCAGCCUCUUCAUUCUGCUGGCCCCUUGGAAAUGCUGCUCCCUGAACUUUGUGAAAACGGCAAGAGCUCAGAGUGCUACGUCAUCCCCCCAGCUACCCCCCUCCUCCCCUCAUCUCAAAGCUCCUAUCUCUUCCUCCUCCUACCAAGUGAAACUAGUGUGGUUGGGAGACAGCUAUGAGCAGGCAUCCCCAUGUGCAUAGACCUGAAGUCAGUCAAGGCUAGAAAACAUGGUGGCAAGAUGGGAGAAUGGUCCUAGGUGGUGAAUCAGGGCCCAGGCACCACGGAUCCCUCUGCAGGUGUUAGAAUGAACUGAUCUGGCAUAAAAGAGGCACUGCUGGGGAAAAGUGAUUUAGGAAAAGAGAUUCAAGUCAAUCUUAAUUCCACCAGUCUGCCAUUCUAAUCAAUUUGGUAUAAUUUGACAAUCAUUUAUUAAUACAGGUCAAAUCCUGUGUGAGUUUGUGGAAGAAGGUGGGACACAAAUGAACAUUUAUGGGCAGUCCACUGUGUGCUGGGUACUGUGCUAGCUGCUGUGGCCACCAAGGAGACAUGGUCUCCCUCCUCUAGAAGCACCCUACAACCCCACCCUUACCUGCAUGCAGCCUUUUUGUUCUCUUCCCCCAUGAAACCUGCAACUGGUAAAUUAAGCCACACUGAGCUGUACUCAACCGAGCAGGUUUCAUAACUGUGCCUUCAAUUGUCUCUCACUAUCCAUUCUCUUCCUGGUUUUAGUAAUGAGCCCCACCCACUCCUCACCCCAGCCACCACUCCUAGAGUUCGGGCUAGACACAUGACUGCCCAGAGAUAUUUCCUAGCCUAUCCUGCAGCUGAGUAUAAGCCAUUUGACUGUGACCAAUGGGUCAUGAGUGGAAAUAUGUGGUAACUUGUGUGGCACACCAUCCUCUUCCUCUUCGCUCUUUUCCAUGGGCUAGGAUGCAGACUUGGGAGUGUACUGGUGAGCAGGCUUUGCUCAUAGGGAUGAGGGCUGGUAAAGCAACAAGAUGGAGGGAACCUCAGGUCUGUGGACCAUCUCCUGGAGCAGAACCACCCUGCCUACCUUCUCAAACCUUCUACCAGCCCAGAUUUUACAUGAGAGAGAAACUCAGUUCUUUAACAAAAAUGGGUUUUUGUUAAAGCAGUUUCAAAUCAAUAUCCUAACUACCUGCUAGUUAAAUCGGUAACUGUUAGCUGCUCACUACCAGAAGUUGAAUAAGCCAAAAGAAUGUCUGGAGUAGGAGCUUUAUCAGAGCUCCUGAAAUACUGAGGCUAGGGAUCCAGUAUGUAACAGAGCGCCCUCUUGAUGUCCCAAAGCAUCUCUCAAUUCCUUUAUCAUUAGACUCAGGGGGACAGCCUUGUAUUUUAGUGUGGCAUGUGUCUAAAGGCACAUGGCUAGUGCAACAUUGAUACCAGGUGCCAAGAAGGCUCCACUCUCAAUCUUCAGCCAACAGGUCUACUUCAUACUUCACUAUAAAUUCAUGAGCUGCAUUACCUAAGUAGUUUUCUGCACUUAGAGAUGAGGCAGGAAAGCCCAUCAGUCUUUCCCAAGAGCCCAGGGCUAAUAGAAGCUCGGCUUCUCAGAUUUACCUUUAAGAGCUCUUGACAUUUUCUCAGAUGAAGAAUGGUUCUCUCUCCUUAGGGGUUAGAGUCCUCUGGUGCUGACCAAGGAAUACCAUUAAAAAGUCUUUUUUUUUUCUUAAAGUAGUUGUAAAAAGGACAGAAAUGUGAGCACUAUAGAAAAGAAGGAAGUUGUACAAAAGUCAAAAGUCAAAUCAUGUAAGUAAGAAAAUGUUUAGGAAUUAUCAGUAUUUGGAAGUCAGUGGUUACAGGUUCAAAAUAGUUCAUGUAAAUGUUCAACCACUGGAAAACUUUAAAAAUGCCAGAGAG